rnacentral:rRNA from 1 species
CAGCAGCCGCGGUAAUACGUAGGUGGCAAGCGUUGUCCGGAAUUACUGGGUGUAAAGGGCGUGUAGGCGGGGAAACAAGUCAGAUGUGAAAUACCGUGGCUUAACUGCGGGGGUGCAUCUGAAACUGUUUUUCUUGAGUGUCGGAGAGGAAAGUGGAAUUCCCAGUGUAGCGGUGAAAUGCGUAGAGAUUGGGAGGAACACCAGUGGCGAAGGCGGCUUUCUGGACGAUAACUGACGCUGAGGCGCGAAAGCGUGGGUAGCAAACAGGAUUAGAUACCCUGGUAGUCCACGCCGUAAACGAUGGAUACUAGGUGUAGGAGGUAUCGACCCCUUCUGUGCCGCAGUUAACACAAUAAGUAUCCCACCUGGGGAGUACGGCCGCAAGGUUGAAACUCAAAGGAAUUGACGGGGGCCCGCACAAGCAGUGGAGUAUGUGGUUUAAUUCGAAGCAACGCGAAGAACCUUACCAGGGCUUGACAUACCCUUGACCGGCAUAGAGAUAUGCCUUCUCUUCGGAGCAAGGGAUACAGGUGGUGCAUGGCC